AGUAACAGGCCUAAUGGCAAAUUAAAUUUGUUGAUGUGUUUUUUAAAAACUUUCAGUGUUACUUUAGUGUUAAAUUUGAAAGCUCUAAUAGUAACACACAGUUCAGAUUGAGUUUUGUGGUUUUAAUGCAUCUAUUGCUGUUGAAACAGUUGAGACUCGUGAAGAAGAGAUCACUUACGCCGAGACGACAUUUAACAAGAGAAACACACAGAAAACGAAAGUUAAAGAGGAGGAUCGUGUGGAAUAUGCACCAAUUGCAUUCAGAAGAUGACCAAACUUCAAGGUUUUUUUCAGUACAAAACCCUUCUUUGAUCAUUUUCAUUGGGAACCUCCUGCAACGGGGGAGCCAUUUGAGCCUGAUUCACUAUACUAUGUAUUUUUAUGAGUCUAUGGUUGAGAUUUGGGAUUGUGAGAAUCACCAUGUUACAUCAGGAGAUAGAUAAGACAUACAGCAGGGAUCAGAUUAUGUAAAUCAUGUGGUCUGCUGCAACAUUUUCAUGUUUGCAAAACAUAGUUGCUAAACUAAUCAUCAAAAGGUGACAAAGUGAACCGUGCCGUGGUCUCUUUUAUUUAUAUCUGUACACAACUGUGGUUUGAUCCGUUGGGUAGAUAAACAGCUUGUGCAUGAGAAUGAGUCUGCUGCUGGAUGUUUGCAUUUGAUGUCAGAAGGUGUCAAUAAAGUAAGCGUGUGUCUGAGGCGUCAAUAGCCCGUCUGUUCGAGUGUGUGACUGAGGUGUCAAAGGUGCGUCAGUGCGAGUGUGUCUGAGGUGUCAGUCUGUGUGGACAGAGAGUCGUUGCAAGGAUUUUUGCAUUUUACUCACAUGAAACUGUUGAUUUAUGCUCUACAGGGAAGCCAUUUUACUACAUAAUACUGAACUCAUUAGUUUGAUGUUUGACAAAAAGGUCUCUCAAGUCAAACAGUGAUAUUACUGUGAAAAA